AAACAAAAAAACAAAUAGAACAAGUACACUAAAAUAAUAACAAGCCGAGUAUGGUAGAUACAUAAACAAGUACAAUAGUUUGUUUGAUAUCAUUAUUGAUAACUAUGGACUCUAGUUAGUAACAAUGUACCAAUAUUGAUUCAUCAACUAUAACAAAUGUAACACACCAAUGCAAGAUGCUAAUUAUAAAGGAAGCUGUGGGGAGGUAGGAAGCAGUAUAGGUGGGAAUUCUCUCUACUUUCCACUCAAUUUUUCUAUAAGCCUAAAACUGCUCUAAAAAAUAAAUUUUAUUAAUUUAUACAUAUAUUUGUAAAUGUAGAUGAUAGAUGCAGACUACCUGAGUUUAAAUCCUGGCUUUGUUCCUUACUUAGUUGGGUGAACUAGGCUAGUGAUUUAAUCUCAACUUUCUUGUGUAUAAAUUAGAAAUACUGCAGUGACUACUACAUUAUAAGAUUGUUUUGAGGAUUAAUAUGCAUAAUUUCCUUGGAAACUUGCUAUUUAAAAUAUGGUUCUUAGACAUGCAACAUUCUCAUUCACCUGGGAGCAAGUUAGAAAUGGAGAAUUUCAGCCAGGUGCAGUGGCUCACACCUAUAAUCCCAGCACUCUGGGAGGCUGAGGCAGGCAAAUCGCUUGAGCCCAGGAGUUCAAGACAAGCCUGGACAACAUGGAGAAACCCCAUCUCUACAAAAAAUUUUAAAAACUAGUGGGUGUGGUGGCCCAUGCCGGUAGUGCCAGCUGAGAUGGGAGGAUCGCUCAAGCCUGGGGAGGUCAAGGCUGCAGUGAGCUGUGAUUGUGCCACCGCACUCUGGCCUGGGUGGCAGAACAACACCCUGUCUCAAAAAAAAAAAAAAAAGAAAGAAAGAAAAAGAAAAAGAAAGAAAAGAAAAGAAUGGAAAAUUUCACACCUCAUCUCAGUCAUACUAAAUCAGCAUUUUAACGAGAUAUACAGACUACUUAUGCACACAUCAUUGCACUGAUUCAUGUGAAUGGUUCCCCUAGUCAUGCACCAUGCGGCCUCUGAGAAAAGCACAAUAUUGAACUCUAUCCUAGCCUCCCAGAGAUUUUUAACCUCUACUUCUUCCAAGAAUUUUUGUUCCUGGACUUAGAAGUCAGGGCAGAGGCAAGCCAGGAAAGGCAGCAAACCAGUUUAACUUCCUCCUCUCUCUCGUUGCCUUAUAUCUUCUUUUGCCCCUUUGCUCUCUGCCCCAAUCCUCACAAUAGUUAACAGCUACUUUACCCAAAUAUCAAACUAGCCAGAGAAGCUACUGAACAUGAUCAUUUAAAAAAAAAAAAAAAAAAAAAAAAAGAACUUUCUUGGCCAGACGCAGUGGCUCACACCUGUAAUCCCAGCACUUUGGGAGGCCGAGGCAGGCGGAUCACGAGGUCAGGAGAUCGAGACCAUCCUGGCUAACACGAUGAAACUCCAUCUCUACUAAAAAUACAAAAAAAAUUACCCAGGCGUGGUGGCGGGCGCCUGUAGUCCCAGCUACUCAGGAGGCUGAGGCGGGAGAAUGGCGUGAACACGGGAGGCCGAGCUUGCAGUGAGCCGAGAUUGCGCCACUGCACUCCAGCCUGGGAGACAGAGCGAGACUCAGUCUCAAAAAAAAAAAAAAAAGAACUCUCGCAACUAGGAAACCUCUUCAGCCAUUACUCUUCAUCCCUUAUUUGUUUGGUUGGGUUUUUUUUGACAAUACUAGGACUUGGCCAAUCUAAAAUUCUAACAAAGCAACUUGCCAAAACUGAGAAGAUAUUGACAAUCUGCCAGGCAGAGCCAUCACAGCUUCCAUUCUCAUGCUCAAAAACAGAGGCUCCUUCAUAGUGUGCCAAAGGUUUCUACUGUGUCAGUUAAAUUCUAGUGAAUAAGACCACAGUAGACUAAACUCUUUCCUAAAGCAACCGUCCUCCUUACAGAAGCCUUUGUUUUUUUAAAAAAUUAUAUUUUAAUUUUUAUGGGUACAUAGUAGGUAUGUAUAUUUAUGGAUUACAUGAGACAUUUUGACACAAGCAUGCAAUAACAAUAAUAAUAAUCACAUCAGGGUAAAUGGGGUUUCUAUCACCUCAAGCAUUUAUCUUUUGUGUUACAAACCAAUUAUACUCUUUUUAGUUAUUUUUGAAUGUACAAUCAAAUUACUUUUUACUAUAGUCACCCUGUUGUGCUAGCAAAUACUAGGUAUUAUUCAUUCUUUCUAUUUUCUUGUACCUAUUAACCAUCCCUACCUCCUCCCCAACUUUCCCUGUCCCAUUGCUCUUCCCAACAUCUGAUAACCAUCAUUCUAUUCUACUCUCUUUCUCCAUGAGUUCAGUUGUUUUUAAUUUUUAUCUCCCACAAAUAAGUGAGAACAUGCAAGGUUUGCCUUUGUGUGCCUGGCUUAUUUCACUUAAGGUAAUGACCUCCAGUUCCAU
rnacentral:lncRNA from 1 species